AAGUACUUCCACAAUAUCACUACUUACCCGAGGCUGUGCGGGCCCUGUGCGAUGCGACCCGUGAACCUUGUCAGGUCCGGAAGGAAGCAGCAAUAAGCGGUCAACCGCAUGUGCUGCAGGUCCACCUGUACAGCUUCGGCUAAGUGGUGGUAUUU
rnacentral:SRP_RNA from 1 species